GGAGUCUGGUCACCCUGUAGAGGACUUGGAUUACAGUUUCUCUAAACUGAAAAGGACUUUAGAAAUGAUCUAUAAAGCCCCUUAUCACACAUAGACUUGGAGAAAUUAUCUCAUGGUGUACAGAAUCAAGGUGGCUUAUCUCCAGAAGGAAAGGGUACAAGGCCAGACAAGGAGGCCAGUGGAAGGCUGUUGUGAGGGGCCAGCAUCCAGUGCCUUGGCAAAAAGAUUCAGAGAAACCCCAGACCUCUUAAAGAGCUUCUGUUCUUAGCGGAUGGAGACAAAUUAUACACAUCUACACUUAUCAAAGAAUGACACAAGCAAGUAAUGCUUGAAGGAAAAAAAAGGAUCGAGCUCUCGAAGCCAUCACAUUCCUCUCGGCACAGGGGCUGUCUUGUAGGAUUCCCCCCUUUUCAUCACAGCCUGCUCAUCGUGAGUCAGAGAGCAAAGUUUAAAUCUUAGAAAAUGAAUGAAGAUAAUAAUCCCUCUCUCCUUUGAAUUGAGGAAGCAGUUGCCACCUUUUUGGUGGCACAGAACGACAGAACAGUGACUUGUUACAGAGCUGUGAUUG
rnacentral:lncRNA from 1 species